rnacentral:rRNA from 1 species
UAAUACAUGCAAGUCGAGCGGACCGACGGGAGCUUGCUCCCUUAGGUCAGCGGCGGACGGGUGAGUAACACGUGGGUAACCUGCCUGUAAGACUGGGAUAACUCCGGGAAACCGGGGCUAAUACCGGAUGCUUGAUUGAGCCGCAUGGUUCAAUUAUAAAAGGUGGCUUUCAGCUACCACUUACAGAUGGACCCGCGGCGCAUUAGCUAGUUGGUGAGGUAACGGCUCACCAAGGCGACGAUGCGUAGCCGACCUGAGAGGGUGAUCGGCCACACUGGGACUGAGACACGGGCCAGACUCCUACGGGAGGCAGCAGUAGGGAAUCUUCCGCAAUGGACGAAAGUCUGACGGAGCAACGCCGCGUGAGUGAUGAAGGUUUUCGGAUCGUAAAACUCUGUUGUUAGGGAAGAACAAGUACCGUUCGAAUAGGGCGGCACCUUGACGGUACCUAACCAGAAAGCCAGGGGUAACUACGUGCCAGCAGCCGCGGUAAUACGUAGGUGGCAAGCGUUGUCCGGAAUUAUUGGGCGUAAAGCGCGCG